AGAGUUUGAUCAUGGCUCAGAAUGAACGCUGGCGGCAGGCCUAAAACAUGCAAGUCGAACGCCCUAGCAAUAGGGAGUGGCGCACGGGUGCGUAACAUGUGGGAAUAUGCCUUUUGGUACGGAACAACGUUUGGAAACGAACGCUAAUACCGUAUGGUCCCUUCGGGGUAAAGAUUUAUCGCCAAAAGAUUAGCCCGCACUGGAUUAGCUAGUUGGUGAGGUAAUGGCUCACCAAGGCGACGAUCCAUAGCUGGUCUGAGAGGACGAUCAGCCACACUGGGACUGAGACACGGCCCAGACUCCUACGGGAGGCAGCAGUUAGGAAUAUUGGACAAUGGGCGCAAGCCUGAUCCAGCCAUGCCGCGUGAGUGAUGAAGGCCUUCGGGUUGUAAAGCUCUUUAGCCGAUGAUUAUAAUGACUGUAGUCGGAAAAUAAGCCCCGGCUAACUUCGUGCCAGCAGCCGCGGUAAUACGAAGGGGGCGAGCGUUAUUCGGAAUCACUGGGCGUAAAGCGUGCGUAGGCUGUUUCACAAGUUGGAAGUGAAAGCCCAGGGCUCAACCCUGGAAUUGCUUUCAAAACUGUGAGACUCGAAUCUCGGAGAGGAUAGCGGAAUUUCCAGUGUAGUAGUGAAAUACGUAGAUAUUGGAAGGAACACCAGUGGCGCAAGCGGCUAUCUGGACGAGUAUUGACGCUGAGGCACGAAAGCGUGGGGAUCAAACAGGAUUAGAUACCCUAGUAGUCC
rnacentral:rRNA from 1 species